UUUUUGCAUUCGUGUUAAAGUGAUAUCGCACAAGACGUCAGGGAAGUCGGUGGAAAUCCGACACAGCCCCCGCUACUGUAAUAAGCCAAGUUGCCAUACGUCACCGAGAGGGAAGACGGCAAAGGAUUGUCUUUAGUUUAUAAAGGAAAUUCUCUUAGAGUCAGGAUACCGGUCUGCGCAAAAAAUAAUUU
rnacentral:ncRNA from 2 species